rnacentral:rRNA from 1 species
GACAGAGGAUGCAAGCGUUAUCCGGAAUGAUUGGGCGUAAAGAGCUCGUAGGCGGCUCGUUGCGUCGGCUGUGAAAACCCGCAGCUCAACUGUGGGCUUGCAGCCGAUGACGGGCGGGCUGGAGUUCGGUAGGGGAGACUGGAAUUCCUGGUGUAGCGGUGAAAUGCGCAGAUAUCAGGAGGAACACCGGUGGCGAAGGCGGGUCUGC